CAGCCGCCGCGGUAAUACGUAGGUGGCAAGCGUUGUCCGGAAUUAUUGGGCGUAAAGGGCUCGCAGGCGGUUUCUUAAGUCUGAUGUGAAAGCCCCCGGCUCAACCGGGGAGGGUCAUUGGAAACUGGGAAACUUGAGUGCAGAAGAGGAGGGUGGAAUUCCACGUGUAGCGGUGAAAUGCGUAGAGAUGUGGAGGAACACCAGUGGCGAAGGCGACUCUCUGGUCUGUAACUGACGCUGAGGAGCGAAAGCGUGGGGAGCGAACAGGAUUAGAUACCCGCGUAGUCCCUGUCUCUUAUAU
rnacentral:rRNA from 1 species